rfam:Triticum urartu cultivar G1812 contig698795, whole genome shotgun sequence.
GUGAGUAGGGAAAGGGAAGCCAUGAGUAUCUCAGAGCAGUGGGCGUGGGAACAUGGAGGAAAGCCUAUACUUGUUGGCCUCUAAAUUUAGGGGCCAAGAUUAUUUCAUGUUUUCCUGAUGCCUCCCAUGCCUAUUGUUCUUAGGUAUUCCUUCCUUUUCCUAUUUUCU